ACUGCUGGUGCAGAAGAACAAAGCUAUGUAUCUCAGUUGUUUAGGGUAGCAGGAGUGAUGAGCAAGCAAGCACACUCCCAUGCUUUCAGGAGGAAAUGCUGCAAAGAAAGGAGGGAGAAGAAGAGUGACUUUUUCCUUUAGAAAAUACUCACUGCUGCUUCAAGGUAGACCCUUCACCUCCUGGUGUCCCUAAGGAUCUCAGGUGGGACAGCUUCAUCACUGGUCCUGGUGCCUUCAUCAGUGCUGUAAUUUGCUGGGAUUCACCUCCAAAAAGAGAUCUAGGAAUCCAUCAUUACAAAAUCUGCAUAAGCUUACAGGAGCCAGAGCAGCUAGUAAAGAUCCCUGGGAAAUGACUAAUGCAGAUGCGCUGCCCCUGUACCAACCACUGUGUUUGCUGGUCUCUGGAGAGGUGCUGGGAGAGCACAACAGCCACUGGUGCAGAAAAACAAGAGAAGAGAAAGGAUUCAUCUGCCAGGAAGAGAUGCAGUCAUGACUCUGCUUGGUGUGAUAAACAGCAUGUGCUGCUCAGAGAUCUGGCUGUGCCCAGGCCAAAUUCCCCUGAUCUCUCUCCAGCUUGGAGAUCCUUCUGCUGUGGUUGAUGUCAACAAGUCUCAUUCUUUGUAUCACCUCCACUGCAAAUGAGAUCGAUGAGAGCAAAUUGUUUG